rnacentral:tRNA from 1 species
GGAUGUUUAGCUCAGUCGGGAGAGCAUCGCCUUUACACGGCGGGGGUCAGAGGUUCGAGCCCUCUAACAUCCA